AGCUUUGCGCAGUGGCAGUAUAGUAGCCAGUGAGGUUUAUCUGAGGCGCGAUUAUUGCUGAUUGAAGACUAGAAGCUGUGUCAGAAUUUAGUCUUUUCUAAGGCACAAACCAUUUGAAUCUACAGGAUUUGGAAAGUCUCAAAAAC
rnacentral:snRNA from 1 species